rnacentral:lncRNA from 1 species
UAAGGAGAGGAUCAAAGAACUAUUUCUAGAAGAACAAGAGGGGAUUUUUUAGAGAUUGAACUAACCUCCUUGCAGUGCACUUCAGUACUCAUUAAAAUGAAUUGCACCAACUUUCCACACAACGUAGGUGGUAGCAAACAUCACUGAACUGAUGAAAACGAACGAAAAGACAAUGAAGAAAAGAUCCGAACCACCUGGGAACUGAAACGUCCACCCUGGUUUUGGCAUCCCUCGCUUGCUAUCAUCGAACAAAUUAGUAGGUGCUUCUGGAAGCCUCGACCUUUUUUUCCCACGAUCACUCUCUCGUAUUGCUUCCAAUACUUUGCUGCUCAUGUCGGACUUGGAGGUUUUCGAUUCGUUGUAACGGCUAAGAACACGAGCAGCCCUUAGUCUUUCUCUUGCAGUUAACGAAGAUUUUUUUGUGAACUGUGAAUCAGGUGAUGAACUUGUAUCUGAAUUCUGUUCUGAAGACAAUAUUUGUCCAUUGGAAGCCUC